UCUCCCGGCCAUCGGGCUUUGUGUAGUCGCGGCUGGGGCUGAAAUUUUGAGUCUAUGGAUAAGGAUCCGGGUACAUGAGGCCGAAGAGGACUCCCAAACCUGCCCUGCGCUGGAGGCGGCCGGGAGAGGUGCGAGGGCAGGCCGUCUUCUCCCCGCGACCACGAAGCCAUGGUGGGGACCCUUGGAAGAACUUGGUUCUUUUAAAUGCUAAAUAGUGGUCUGAGAAGUUUGAACUCAUUCUUCCAACUCUACACACCUUAGCUACUCCCAGUAACUGUUUCUGCUGCUAAAUUGACGCUGGAAUAUAGAAAUCUAAGAGAAAGAACUUUGAAAACUCCUGGAAGUUACAAAUACCUGUGUGCUGRUGUUCAGUAAGUCAUUUAUCAAGCUCCACCCCUAAGCCAGUCACCUCAAGGUUUCUUUUUCACAAUGCAACCCACCAAUCAUGCAAGCAUCAUCUGAGUCCAUGGGAUAUGAGGACAAAAGAAACUGAUGAAAAUAUGCAGACGCUUAUGCUGUUUGUUAUGCUGUAAAUAAUAAAGUACUUGGUCUCUGACCCAGGAUUCUAGUGACUUCUGCCAACAACCAUGAAUCUACAGCAGUUUAACUUAUUAACUUGCAAGAAGGAUGAAAUUUUAAAUGCUUCAAAGUUCAUUACAGUAUAUAACAUCAAAGCCUUAUUAGCAAGGAGAAAUUUUCCUCUAUAACAUGACCCCACAGAUAAUUGAUAUUCAAUUUUGUGUGAAUCCUAGAUUCUUAUUUUAGA